AUUGAACGCUGGCGGCAGGCCUAACACAUGCAAGUCGAGCGGAUGAAGGGAGCUUGCUCCUGGAUUCAGCGGCGGACGGGUGAGUAAUGCCUAGGAAUCUGUCUGGUAGUGGGGGAUAACGUCCGGAAACGGGCGCUAAUACCGCAUACGUCCUGAGGGAGAAAGUGGGGGAUCUUCGGACCUCACGCUAUCAGAUGAGCCUAGGUCGGAUUAGCUAGUUGGUGGGGUAAAGGCCUACCAAGGCGACGAUCUGUAACUGGUCUGAGAGGAUGAUCAGUCACACUGGAACUGAGACACGGUCCAGACUCCUACGGGAGGCAGCAGUGGGGAAUAUUGGACAAUGGGCGAAAGCCUGAUCCAGCCAUGCCGCGUGUGUGAAGAAGGUCUUCGGAUUGUAAAGCACUUUAAGUUGGGAGGAAGGGCAGUAAGUUAAUACCUUGCUGUUUUGACGUUACCAACAGAAUAAGCACCGGCUAACUUCGUG
rnacentral:rRNA from 1 species